UGCAAGUCGAACGGCAGCAUGAUCUAGCUUGCUAGAUUGAUGGCGAGUGGCGAACGGGUGAGUAAUACAUCGGAACGUGCCCUGUAGUGGGGGAUAACUAGUCGAAAGAUUAGCUAAUACCGCAUACGACCUGAGGGUGAAAGUGGGGGACCGCAAGGCCUCAUGCUAUAGGAGCGGCCGAUGUCUGAUUAGCUAGUUGGUGAGGUAAAGGCUCACCAAGGCGACGAUCAGUAGCUGGUCUGAGAGGACGAUCAGCCACACUGGGACUGAGACACGGCCCAGACUCCUACGGGAGGCAGCAGUGGGGAAUUUUGGACAAUGGGGGCAACCCUGAUCCAGCAAUGCCGCGUGUGUGAAGAAGGCCUUCGGGUUGUAAAGCACUUUUGUCCGGAAAGAAAUCGCACUUACUAAUAUUAGGUGUGGAUGACGGUACCGGAAGAAUAAGGACCGGCUAACUACGUGCCAGCAGCCGCGGUAAUACGUAGGGUCCAAGCGUUAAUCGGAAUUACUGGGCGUAAAGCGUGCGCAGGCGGUUGUGCAAGACCGAUGUGAAAUCCCCGGGCUUAACCUGGGAAUUGCAUUGGUGACUGCACGGCUAGAGUGUGUCAGAGGGGGGUAGAAUUCCACGUGUAGCAGUGAAAUGCGUAGAGAUGUGGAGGAAUACCGAUGGCGAAGGCAGCCCCCUGGGAUAACACUGACGCUCAUGCACGAAAGCGUGGGGAGCAAACAGGAUUAGAUACCCUGGUAGUCCACGCCCUAAACGAUGUCAACUAGUUGUUGGGGAUUCAUUUCCUUAGUAACGUAGCUAACGCGUGAAGUUGACCGCCUGGGGGAGUACGGUCGCAAGAUUAAAACUCAAAGGAAUUGACGGGGACCCGCACAAGCGGUGGAUGAAGGUGGAUUAAUUCGAUGCAACGCGAAAAACCUUACCUACCCUUGACAUGCCACUAACGAAGCAGAGAUGCAUUAGGUGCUCGAAAGAGAAAGUGGACACAGGUGCUGCAUGGCUGUCGUCAGCUCCUGUCCUGAAAAUGUUUGGGUUAAGUCCCCCCACCAAGCGCAACCCUUG
rnacentral:rRNA from 1 species